rnacentral:rRNA from 1 species
UUUUAAUGAGAGUUUGAUCCUGGCUCAGGACGAACGCUGGCGGCGUGCCUAAUACAUGCAAGUAGAACGCUGAGGUUUGGUGUUUACACUAGACUGAUGAGUUGCGAACGGGUGAGUAACGCGUAGGUAACCUGCCUCAUAGCGGGGGAUAACUAUUGGAAACGAUAGC